GGGAUAUGAUGGGCACUGGAAGGGCACCUGGAGGGGUUGGCAUGGCUGAGACCUUGCUGCUUCUCUGGACAGGACUAGGUCUGUUUGGGGCUCUGGGAGAGGGAGCUUCUCAGGAUGGUUCCUCACACGGGCUGUGCCCUGUCCAACAGGACCAGAGGAGUAUGGGAGAUGCAGGGGAGGCCAAACACCAGCCCUGGCUAAAGAAGUGGAUCUGUUGGACCUCUUGGACAUGCUUUCCCCAGACCACUACAAUGUCUCUACAGCAGAGGAUGACAGGGGCUGCUUGGCCUAGGAAAUCGGACAAUACGCCACAUUGUUCCUCCCCACACACAGAGCAUUUGGCUCUCAGUUCCCAGCAGGCCUCCUGUGGGAUGGCGAGUGGCACUGGCUGGCCCUGUCUGUCUCUUUGUCCAGACUGGAGGUGUAUGCAGACUGCAGCCUGCUGGAGAGUAUACCCUGGAGGAACUACCCCGGCCUGGAGGUCUCCACCAAGGGUUUCAUUCUGGUGGGAGGGGCCACCCAGCCCUACCACACACCCUUUACCGUAAGCCCACUGCUUUUCAGACCCCCGUGCUACAUUCCUCACAUCGGCCCCAGUCCUCCUCCCACCCCAGGGGAAAAGAGGGGG
rnacentral:lncRNA from 1 species